rnacentral:tRNA from 1 species
GGGGCCGUAGCUCAGUUGGGAGAGCGUCUGGUUUGCAACCAGAAGGUCGUGGGUUCGAUCCCCUCCGGCUCCACCA